AAUUAGGUCCUCCGCCUCUCCGUCACUAGCGACCUCACCACCGGCCAUGGAGGUGACGACUAUCGCCAUCUCCGUUUGAGUCAAGCCACCGGAACGUGACCACGCCAACGACGCCCUGGAGCACGCACCGGAGCGCCGCCGCUUAGACAUCGUUGUCGUCCGGCCAUUCUCGUCCAUCCCGAAGCAAGCCGCUGUGCCAAGAAUCUCGCCUCGACCACCUCUUCAAGACGCCUCAAGAACCCCAGCCGGAAACAUCAAGAACACGGAGAACACAUCCUUUUCUUCCUCGACGCCGAUCCGAACUCGCCUCCACCGUCAUCGUCGAUUACCACUGCCUCGCUCGUCGUCCCGUUUGAGCCGUCGCCGUUCACCCGAGGAGGAGCGUCGCCGUCGAACCGUUCCAACUGAAGCCGCUGCUAUCCAAGCUUCGGAGAUUUCUUCCUACAGCUUGGUUUAGUCUUAGUCUUUAAGUGAUGCGGGUUCCGAUUGCUUCUUCUAGGAUGAGAACUUAAUGGGGUAAACCCCUAGUCGGUGUGCUUGUGAUUGGGUAGUCAAGCUUCCGUUGUUCUCUAAAUAAGUCUAUUUGGCCGGUCGGCCUAUGUAAUUAUUAUGUUGUUGUAAGUCUUAAGUUUCUUUCAUGUUAGUUGUGUUUACUAUGUAUAAUCAUGCUUAAGAUGAAAGUGUGGAUCUAGUGCCCAUCCGGGGAACUAGAUUCAUAUGAGUAUGAGUUAGGAAUAUUUGA